CCCUUUGACAAGGCGUACCGAGGUCGCUACUAUGCGCCUCGUUCACACGAUACGGCGGACUGUUAAUCCGUAUGUCACUGGUUCGAGUCCAGUCAGAGGAGCCA
rnacentral:tRNA from 1 species